rnacentral:lncRNA from 1 species
AAUCUAAUUUCCUUAAACCCAUGACAAAAUAUUGUAUGUUAUUUAUACGAUGAAUUUAGGGAUCGUUUAUAUUAAACAAGUAUGUAUAUGAUGUUAUAAUAAAUGUAUGAGAAUAGGAUUUGUGGAUAACUCCUUAAAUAUGGUGAAAUAGAGUCAUGCAUAUCCAAAAUAGUUAGGUCAAGUAUAUCUAAUUUUUGAUAUAUGUGGUUUCACAUUACAAAAGUCAAAUAGAAUCAUCCCAAAUAUUCUCAAGUAAUAUUAACGUCAUAAUUGUAAUGGAAAGUUUCAAAAUACUUAUAUGAAUUUUGUAAAAUUAUACAAUUAUAAUAUUUGUCGUAGUUGUAAUUUUUUCUCAAUAUCAUGGGGUAUUUUAAGCAACUAUUACCACCAGAGUUGUAUUCAAAAUCAAAUGGGAAGAAGCAACUGAGGCUCUUAUCAGACUUCGUCUCAACUCCCUAAGCUUAUGUGGAGGGAUGAAUUUUCUAAAUAUAUUGAGUGGGAUGGCAUUCAAACACUUCGAUCGAUGGGUCCUCUAGAUCAUUUUCAUUAUCCAAUGUUAUGACAGAGAAGGCUUCACAGGAGUUGGAACGGAUCUUUUUGGGUGCUCCUUCAUCACUCUGCUAGCUUCAUUGAAUGCAGAAAUAUUCAGCAUUCUUAAAGGAAGAAAUAAACUAAGGUAGUCUAUCGAAGGCUCUGUUUUUAUCAAUAAACACUACAUUCGCCAAUUUUAUCUAAAUAAAGGAAUGCAUCAUGCACCUGUAAAACAGAACUUGUAUCUAAAAUCAUGUAAUUACUCAUUAAGGAGUCUUAUAAAUUCGAAAGACAUGCAUUUCAAAAAACUAAAAAGUGUAUAGAAAUAAUGAACAGAUACCUACAUUGGUUUGUGGAUGGAACUUAUAAAGUUAGUCCGAUUACAUUUUAUCGAUUAUUUACGGUACACGUACUAGUCAUGGACACAGUAAUUCCAUGUGUAUAUGCACUUCUUCCAAAGAAAAGCCGUGAUACAUACAAUGGAUUUUCGGAUGGAUUAAUGGGGAACACAUACGGAAUUACUUUUAAUCCCAUUAAAUACUAAUAGCUAACUUUGAAAUAAAUACGAUAUUUACACUA